rnacentral:rRNA from 1 species
AUUGAACGCUGGCGGCAGGCCUAACACAUGCAAGUCGAACGAGUGGCGGACGGGUGAGUAAUGUCUGGGAAACUGCCUGAUGGAGGGGGAUAACUACUGGAAACGGUAGCUAAUACCGCAUACCAUCAGAUGUGCCCAGAUGGGAUUAGCUAGUUGGUGGGGUAACGGCUCACAAAGGCGACGAUCCCUAGCUGGUCUGAGAGUAUGACAAGCCAUAUGGGAACUGAUACACGGCCCAGACUCCUACGGGAGGCAGAAGUGGGGAAGAUUGCACAAGGGGCGCAAGACUGAUGCAGCCAUGCCGAGUGUAUGAAGAAGGCCUGCGGGUUGUAAAGUACUUUCAGCGAGGAGGCGUUACCCGCAGAAGAAGCACCGGCUAACUCCGUGCCAGCAGCCGCGGUAAUAC